rnacentral:rRNA from 1 species
GAUGAACGCUGGCGGCGUGCCUAAUACAUGCAAGUCGAGCGAACAGACGAGGAGCUUGCUCCUCUGACGUUAGCGGCGGACGGGUGAGUAACACGUGGAUAACCUACCUAUAAGACUGGGAUAACUUCGGGAAACCGGAGCUAAUACCGGAUAACCUGUUGAACCGCAUGGUUCAACAGUGAAAGACGGUCUUGCUGUCACUUAUAGAUGGAUCCGCGCCGCAUUAGCUAGUUGGUAAGGUAACGGCUUACCAAGGCGACGAUGCGUAGCCGACGUGCGAGGAGGGUCGGCCACACUGGAACGGAGACGCGGUCCAGACGCCUACGGGAGGCAGCAGUAGGGAAUCGUAGGCAAUGGGCGGAAGCCUGACGGAGCAACGCCGCGUGAGUGAUGAAGGUCUUCGGAGCGUAAAGCUCUGUUAUUGGGGAAGAACAAAUGUGUAAGUAAAUAUACACGUCGUGACGGUACCGGAUAAGAAAGCCACGGCUAACUACGUG